rnacentral:rRNA from 1 species
ACGCACGCUGGCGGCGUGCUUAACACAUGCCAGUCGCACGGAAAGGCCCUGCUUGCAGGGUACUCGAGUGGCGAACGGGUGAGUAACACGUGGGUGAUCUGCCCUGCACUUCGGGAUAAGCCUGGGAAACUGGGUCUAAUACCGGAUAGGAGCCAUUUUUAGUGUGAUGGUUGGAAAGUUUUUUCGGUGUAGGAUGAGCUCGCGGCCUAUCAGCUUGUUGGUGGGGUAAUGGCCUACCAAGGCGGCGACGGGUAGCCGGCCUGAGAGGGUGGACGGCCACAUUGGGACUGAGAUACGGCCCAGACUCCUACGGGAGGCAGCAGUGGGGAAUAUUGCACAAUGGGCGCAAGCCUGAUGCAGCGACGCCGCGUGGGGGAUGACGGCCUUCGGGUUGUAAACUCCUUUCGCUAGGGACGAAGCUUUUUGUGACGGUACCUAGAUAAGAAGCACCGGCUAACUACGUG